rnacentral:tRNA from 1 species
CCCGGCUUAGCUCAGUGGCAGAGCGCGGGCCUGUAGUCUGACCUGCCGCUGGCAGGCGGCAGAGAGCCCGUGGUCCCCGGUUCAAAUCCGGGAGCCGGGA